CAAAGCAAUAUCAAGAAUUUGGCGCGCACGCGCACACACACACUCGCAUAGCUGGUUGAGUUCAUGUUUUGAGUCAUUUUUAGAUAGCUGAUAGUGCACGACAGUGCUGGCUAUCUGCUAGGAACAACACUGAGGACAAAAGAUAAUCUGUUUAUAUUCCAAAUUAGUGCAUACCUGGGCUCAGUGCCCACAUGAAAUGGAGCUCUCUGCUCUCAUAUUCUUUUCUUCCACCUAGUUCUAUAUAUCCAAGUUUUGGGCUUGGACAUCUAAACAGAAACUCAUUGCAGCCCCAUUCACACCCUCUUCGGUUGCAAAAAUCCAGACUCCCAAUUCACCCAACACUUUUAGUACCUAUUUUUACCUUCCUGAGGCCAUUUGCUUUCUGAGAAUAUUAUAGAUAUAAUACACAUUUAUCCCGAUAUUUUGUUGUAUUUAUAGCAACUGUUAUUAUCACUGGCAAAUGUAAAAUAAUGAUCACAAUUAUGGCUUUGAGAAAGUACAAGAUCUUUAGUCAGCAAAGAAAUAUUAGAUUCUCUUCACUUAGCUCUUCUUCCUAGCAAAAUACUAGAUUUCUCUAAUAGAGAAAAUUUUUCUGAAACAAAAUAUAAACCAAGGUAUUUUUUCCUAUAAAUGAUAUACAAUUAUCUUUCAACCACAUGGGCUGUUUGGUACCAUAAAAAUUAGUUAGCAGAACUCAAUUAUUUCACUGAUUUCCACAAGAAACCCUUUCCCAUGUAGCAUUUAAUAAUGUGAGUAAUUUUUGUUGAAGAUGUAUUCACAUUGUACCAGUGUGCCUAUUUGUUUCCCCCAAAUUCACUCUUGAUAUCUCUGUUUUUCUGAUUCCAGUGGUUUUCUUCUUUUUAAUGUAUAAUAAUUACCUUCAAAGUUUGAUGAAAAUGAAGAUUAAGAAGAUAUAUAUCUUGAGAUUUUGAUCCAGUAGGUCUGGGAUAAGUUGAAAACCUGCAUUUUGAUCAGGAAUCCCGGAGAUUUUUUUUUUUUUAAUUUUUUUUCAACGUUUUUAUUUAUUUUUGGGACAGAGAGAGACAGAGCAUGAACGGGGGAGGGGCAGAGAGAGAGGGAGACACAGAAUCGGAAACAGGCUCCAGGCUCCGAGCCAUCAGCCCAGAGCCUGAUGCGGGGCUCCAACUAACGGACCGCGAGAUCGUGACCUGGCUGAAGUCGGACGCUUAACCGACUGCGCCACCCAGGCACCCCAGGAAUCCCGGAGAUUUUAAUGCACUGUCAAGUUGGGAAAAGAAUGCUUAUAGUCCUUCUUUUGCCAAAUGGGCCAAUGAGACUUUUCUCCCAUCUUUUACCCGCUUUCUCCAAGUGCCUAAUCUUUCUGGAUCACUUAGAAUACUAUAUAUUCCUCCCUAACCCCAAUUUUAAAUACUUCACCAUUUUAUUAUGGAGGGCAAUUUCAUGAUUAUCUUUGCUUAUCUGACAGUUUCUUUGGGAACUUAGCACUAUCCUAAGAACCUUGAGUGGCAAAUCUUUUCCCAAGAGAAUAUUUAGACUCCUAUGAAGUUAAAACCUUCAUUAAUCAAUAAAUUAAGUUAUUCUAAUUCAAUGAGUCAUUAAUGUAUUUGGCAUUUUAUUUUUUUAACCCCAAAUGCUAUUUUUAGUGAAGCCCAGUAAUAUCUGUGACUACAUCUAGGUCUUAGAGACCAAGGAUUAUUUUCAUGGCUUUCCUUUUUUUUUUUUUGUCAGUAUUUAGUCCACAAUAUAAAAAAGUAAUACCAGAAACCUAAACACUCUAAGAUUUUUUUAAUGAAUUUCAGGAAAUAAUAGCUAUGGCAUUUGUUUAUCCCUGAAGCAACUGCUUGAUGAAAAAUUUUGCUCUAUGGGUGAAAAAUGUAGAACAUGGAAUCCACCUGCUUUCACCUCACAGCCAGAGAACCUUCUCUAUUAAAGUUAAACUACAGAGUUCUUUGUUUCCCAGGAAUCAGAGAUCACUGGUCCAGCUGUGAUAUGCAGUCUCAAAACACAAAACAUCUGGAGAGAUGAUAUGAAUAGUUCAUCUUAUUUAUGUUUGAAAGCUGAGGCAGUGUUUAUGGAAUGACGAAUUUGUUUAAAUGAAUGUCCGAACAUUAUGAAUUCCAUAUCACACUUUAUUUGGCUUCGUAAUUGAUGUGGUGAACCAAGAGCUCUCCAUACAUACACUUACAUACAUAGGCAUGUAGCCACAUAGCUAUAUAUCCAUAUUACAUGUAUGUAUGUAUCUCUGCCUCUAUCUAUCUAUCAUGUGUCUACUUAUCUAUCCAGAGAGAGAUCGCUAUUUUUCUGUAUGUACUUAGGGAAAUCUCUGAACCACCGUGUUUAUUUUUCUAAGAUUUAAGAGUAGGGUGGAAGAAUGGGAUAGAAGUAUAACAUGAAAAUAAUAUUUACCACAAAAUCAUGGCUAUUAAGAAGCUGGCAUUCUUUGAGUAGAAUGUACAGUUUGAAAUUAAAGUCCUAUAACUGAAUAAUCUUCUUCUAACAAGAAGAAUGUUCUCAUAAAUCUAUUACUCAAAAUGUUUUUGAAAGACAACUCACCAUUUUUUUAAAUCAACUUUGAAGUCAUAAUUGUAAGUAAAGCUCUGUGCAGAGAAGUUUGGGAUAAAUAUGUAUGAAAAUAUAAAGAACUAUUGUCAUGUUACUGGAAAAUUUGGGGCAGACAGCUUUGACCUGAUUAUUUUCUUGAACUUUCUCAAUCGGAUUUAUCAAAGGCAACUAAAAGUUCUUUCAAACUGUAUUCCUAGCCUCUGAAUUAAUCACAAUGACUUGUUUAGAGAAAUAUUCUGCAAUGCCAACUGUAUCCUGACUGAAAUUUGAACCAUUAGGGGAUUUAGAGCUUCAGUGGUUUGGGUUCUUGGUGGUCUUUGAUGCACUUUCCCUACGUACAAUUUUUGGAUUGUGGGAGGUUUAUAAUUGACUAGCCAUUGACUGACUUUUGGCCAAUGAAGUGCCCAAUGUAGUGAUGCAAGAGUUGUCUAUAAAGGGACAAAUUAUUAGCUCUCCAAGCUAUUAAUUAAGCAGUGUCAAUAGAUUACUUUUUGAGUCUCAUCAAAUUUUUUUUGCACGUCUUUUCUCUUAAUUAAAAAAUAAUUGAAAUGGUUCUAAGAUAAAAGUCUAUUAAUUUUUAUUUCUUAAAAAACCCCUAAACUAACCAGUCCUUAGCCUCCAUAGAUAUUUACUUCAGUAUCUCAUGUGACAUUGAGAGCUCCAAUAACCAAUACUUUUUCUGACUUCUUUUUUUAAGUUUUAUAUUUUAUUUUUUAAAAUUUACAUCCAAAUUAGUAUAGAGUGAAGCAAUGAUUUCAGGAGUAGAUUCCUUAGUGCCCCUUACCCAUUAAGCCCAUCCCCCCCCACAACCCCUCCAGUAACCCUCUGUUUGUUCUCCAUAUUUAUGAGUCUCUUCUGUUUUGUCCCCCUCCCUGUUUUUAUAUUAUUUUUGUUUCCCUUCCCUUAUGUUCAUCUGUUUUGUCUCUUAAAGUCCUCAUAUGAGUGAAGUCAUAUGAUUUUUAUCUUUCUCUGACUAAUUUCACUUAGCAUAAUACCCUCUAGUUCCAUCCAUGUAGUUGCAAAUGGCAAGAUUUCAUUCUUUUUGAUUGCUGAGUAAUACUCCAUUGUAUAUAUAUAUACCACAUCUUCUUUAUCCAUUCAUCCAUCGAUGGACAUUUGGGCUCUUUCCAUACUUUGGCUAUUGUUGAUAGUGCUGCUAUAAACAUGGGGGUGCAUGUGUCCCUUUGAAACAGCACACCUGUAUCCCUUGGAUAAAUGCCUAGUAGUGCAAUUGCUGGGUCGUAGGGUAGUUCUAUUUUUAGUUUUUUGAGGAACCUCCAUACUGUUUUCCAGAGUGGCUGCACCAGCUUGCAUUCCCACCAACAAUGCAAAAGAGAUCCUCUUUCUCCNNNNNNNNAGGUGGUAUCUCAUUGUGGUUUUGAUUUGUAUUUCCCUGAUGAUGAGUGAUGUUGAGCAUUUUUUCAUGUGUCGGUUGGCCAUCUGGAUGUCUUCUUUGGAGAAGUGUCUAUUCAUGUCUUUUGCCCAUUUCUUCACUGGAUUAUUUGUUUUUUGGGUGUUGAGUUUGAUAAGUUCUUUAUAGAUUUUGGAUACUAACCCUUUAUCUGAUAUGUCAUUUGCAAAUAUCUUCUCCCAUUCUGUCGGUUGCCUUUUAGUUUUGCUUAUUGUUUCCUUCGCUGUGCAGAAGCUUUUUGUUUUGAUGAGGUCCCGGUAGUUCAUUUUUGCUUUGUUUCCCUUGCCACUGGAGACAUGUUGAGUAAGAAGUUGCUGCGGCCAAGAUCAAAGAGGUUUUUGCCUGCUUUCUACUCGAGGAUUUUGAUGGCUUCCUGUCUUACAUUGAGGUCUUUCAUCCAUUUUGAGUUUAUUUUUGUGUAUGGUGUAAGAAAGUUGUCCAGGUUCAUUCUUCUGCAUGUCGUUGUCCAGUUGUCCCAGGACCAAUUGCUGAAGAGACUGUCUUUAUUCCAUUGGAUGUUCUUUCCUGCUUUGUCAAAGAUUAGUUGGCCAUACGUUUGUGUGUCCAUUUCUGGGUUCUCCAUCCUGUUCCAUUGAUCUGAGUGUCUGUUUUUGUGCCAGAACCUUACUGUCUUGAUGAUUACAGCUUUGUAAUACAGCUUGAAAUCUGGGAUUGUGAUGCCUCCAGCUUUGGUUUUCUUUUUCAAGAUUGCUUUGGCUAUUUGGGGUCUUUUUUGGUUCCAUACAAAUUUUAGGAUUGUUCAUUCUAGCUCUGUGAAGAAUGCUGGUGUUAUUUUGAUAGGGAUUGCAUUGAAUAUGAGAUUGCUUUGGGCAGUAUUGACAUUUUAACAAUAUUUGUUCUUCCUAUCCAGAAACAUGGAAUCUUUUUCUAUUUUUUUGUGUCUUCAAUUUCUUUCAUAAGAUUUCUAUGGUUUUCAGUGUAUAGAUUUUUCACCUACCUUUUGUGACUUCUGUUCGUGUAUCAUGGUUCUCCUGUUUAACUCUAAAUUAACAUAUUUGUGUAUAUAUGUUUGUAUAUAUACAUGUGUACACACAUUUGUGUGAGUUCAAAAAUGAUUACUUUGAUGAAUGUUAGUUUCUGUCCACCGAACUGUAAUAACAUUAGGCAAAUCU
rnacentral:lncRNA from 1 species